rnacentral:piRNA from 1 species
UUUAUUUUUGCAUUCUUCUCC